GGUUCAGGUCAAGAUUAACAUUCACGCUGCCUCCCAGCCAAUCCCAGAGAGCCAAAGAAAGAAGGCAAGCAGAACUCCCACGGAAAGCCAAGGCGAAGGGAAGGGCAAAAGCAAGGAGAGCACCCAACAGAAAGCCAAGGUGAGGGCAAGGAGACAGCAGCAGGAAAGGCCAAGGGCAAAGGCCAAGAGAACACAGCAAAAAAUGCCAAAACAGAAGGCCAAGGGAACAUGGCAUAGAAUGCUCAGGUCAGGGCAAGGGCUAAGAGAACGUGGCAGGAAGUGCCAAAACAGGAGGCCAAAGAGAACACGGCAAAGAAGGCCAAGGCAGAAGGCUAAGAGAAGUUGGCUGGGAACACCAGAACAUGAUGCCAAAGAGAACACUGCAGGAAAUGCCCAAACAGGAGGGCAAGAGAACACUGCAGGGAACGCCAAAACUGAAUGCUGAAGAGAACGUGGCAGAAGAAAAAGAAGUUCAAUAGCCAAGAGAAUGUGGCAUGGAACGCAAAAACAGGAGGGCAAGGGAAUGCCUAGGAAGUGGCCAAGAGAACACAACAAGAAACGCCAAAACAGAAGGGCAAGAGAGCACUGCAGGGAACGCCAAAACUGAAUGCUGAAGUGAAUGUGGCCAAGAAAGCCAAGGGCAAUGGCCAAGAGAACAUGACAUGGAAUGCAAAAACAGGAGGGCAAGAGAAUGCAGUAGGG
rnacentral:lncRNA from 1 species